UACGUAGGGUGCAAGCGUGUCCGGAAUUAUUGGGCGUAAAGAGCUCGUAGGCGGUCUGUCGCGUCGGCUGUGAAAACUCGGGGCUCAACCCCGAGCCUGCAGUCGAUACGGGGCAGACUAGAGUGCUGUAGGGGAGACUGGAAUUCCUGGUGUAGCGGUGGAAUGCGCAGAUAUCAGGAGGAACACCGGUGGCGAAGGCGGGUCUCUGGGCAGUAACUGACGCUGAGGAGCGAAAGCGUGGGGAGCGAACAGG
rnacentral:rRNA from 1 species